UACGUAGGGGGCAAGCGUUGUCCGGAUUUACUGGGCGUAAAGAGCGUGUAGGCGGCCAGGCAGGUCUGUUGUGAAAACUGGAGGCUCAACCUCCAGACGUCGACGGAAACCGUGUGGCUAGAGUCCGGAAGAGGAGAGUGGAAUUCCUGGUGUAGCGGUGAAAUGCGCAGAUAUCAGGAAGAACACCAAGUGGCGAAGGCA
rnacentral:rRNA from 1 species